UAGAAGUGAAAGGGCUGCCA
rnacentral:siRNA from 1 species